rnacentral:rRNA from 1 species
UACGGAGGGUGCGAGCGUUGUCCGCAAUCACUGGGCGUAAAGGGCGCGUAGGCGGCGCGGGGAGUCAACGGUGAAAGCUCGGCGCUCAACGCCGAGUCGGCCGUCGAUACUCCCGUGCUUGAGCACUGUAGAGGCAGGUGGAAUUCCGGGUGUAGCGGUGGAAUGCGUAGAGAUCCGGAAGAACACCGGUGGCGAAGGCGGCCUGCUGGGCAGUAGCUGACGCUGAGGCGCGACAGCGUGGGGAGCAAACAGG